rnacentral:rRNA from 1 species
UCCUGGCUCAGAGUGAACGCUGGCGGUAGGCCUAACACAUGCAAGUCGAACGGCAGCACAGGAGAGCUUGCUCUCUGGGUGGCGAGUGGCGGACGGGUGAGGAAUACAUCGGAAUCUACUUUUUCGUGGGGGAUAACGUAGGGAAACUUACGCUAAUACCGCAUACGACCUACGGGUGAAAGCAGGGGAUCUUCGGACCUUGCGCGAUUGAAUGAGCCGAUGUCGGAUUAGCUAGUUGGCGGGGUAAAGGCCCACCAAGGCGACGAUCCGUAGCUGGUCUGAGAGGAUGAUCAGCCACACUGGAACUGAGACACGGUCCAGACUCCUACGGGAGGCAGCAGUGGGGAAUAUUGGACAAUGGGCGCAAGCCUGAUCCAGCCAUACCGCGUGGGUGAAGAAGGCCUUCGGGUUGUAAAGCCCUUUUGUUGGGAAAGAAAUCCAGCUGGCUAAUACCCGGUUGGGAUGACGGUACCCAAAGAAUAAGCACCGGCUAACUUCGUGCCAGCAGCCGCGGUAAUACGAAGGGUGCAAGCGUUACUCGGAAUUACUGGGCGUAAAGCGUGCGUAGGUGGUCGUUUAAGUCCGUUGUGAAAGCCCUGGGCUCAACCUGGGAACUGC